GGCGCUGUGGCUCAGUGGUAGAGCACUUGCCUGGUAUGUGAAGCACUGUUUGAUUCUCAGCACCA
rnacentral:tRNA from 1 species